UACGUAGGGGGGCAAGCGUUGUCCGGAAUCAUUGGGCGUAAAGAGCGUGUAGGCGGCUCGGUAAGUCCGCUGUGAAAGUCCAGGGCUCAACCCUGGAAUGCCGGUGGAAACUGUCGAGCUAGAGUCCGGAAGAGGCGAGUGGAAUUCCUGGUGUAGCGGUGGAAUGCGCAGAUAUCAGGAGGAACACCAAUAGCGAAGGCAGCUCGCUGGGACGGUACUGACGCUAAGGCGCGAAAGCGUGGGGGAGCGAACAGG
rnacentral:rRNA from 1 species